rnacentral:miRNA from 1 species
ACCAAAUGCUUCCAAAUGCCAAUUUAUAUUAAGCUCGCCCCAUUCCUCUGUCAUUUGUCGCGCGCCGCAAGCACUCAAUGAAAAGCAUUGUUCAUAAAUUGUUCAUAUAUAUAGAUAUAUGAACAAUGCUUUUCAUUGAGUGCUUGCGGCGCGUUACAAAUGACAGAGGAAUGGGGCGAGCUUAAUAUAAAUUGGCAUUUGGAAGCAUUUG